rfam:Camelus ferus unplaced genomic scaffold scaffold1435, whole genome shotgun sequence.
GAGGGUAUAGCUCAGUGGUAGUGUACAUGCUUAGUAUGCACAAGGUCCUGGGUUCAAUCCCCAGUACCUCCA